GUGAUGAGCUAGAGUCCCAGCCUGUUCGGCCCGUGCAGCUAGAAAACCACUUACCAUUAUCUAAAAAAUAAAUCAGGGCGUACCAGUGGCACGCUGCAACUCUCCCGGCGCGCGGCCGGCGAGGGCCUUGCAUCGGCGGCGAAGGGGAGCGAGAAGGAGGCCGCGCGCUUCUUCUCGUUCCUCCCUCACCGGCGGCGGCCAUCCCAUUCGAGGCGGCUCGAUCUGGUUCGGUUCGGUUCGGUGGAGACCACCCCUCGUCCAUCCCGCGCUGCCGCUCACUAGCCACCAACCAGGCAGUGGCCGUCGCCGUCGCCCAUUGCCAUUACCGGCUAGCCUGUUCGCUGUUGCUCUAGGUAUACGAUCAGGCUGGCUGUCUGUUACGUGACAGCCUCUGCAUAUACUCUGCUGAGUACUAGCAACUCUUUCCAAGACAGUGAUUAAGACAUCGAUGACCUUAGGAAGGCAUUGGUGUAUUUGCAAGUUAAGUUGAAUGAAGCAAUGAUAAUUUAUUUGGAGGAUCAAUCCAGGUGAGCAUGAUUGAAAGGGUCGGCUAUAUCGACGUGACAUAUGUGCAACAUAAGAUAAGGAUACCAAACUCAAGCACUAUAUGAGUACGAUUUUUUGUAUCCAUUGAUUUCGUGUUUAGACAGCUUAAAUACGGAACCUGCUAUCAUUGAGAUGUAAUACCACUUAUGUCAUCAAGCAGUAUCCUGGGUACGUACUGAGUCUAUUCACUGUCCUCUCUACACUAAAUAGAGUAUAAUGUUGCUGAAUUAUCCGUCUCUCGAGCUUCUCAGUGUCAGACAUCAAGUAUAAAAAUUCUGUAUGCACUAGCUAGACUGACAGAUGUUCGUAAUGAUCUCAUGAGGAUUUAUGCUUAUGAUGUGAUGAUCUGUUUGGAAUCUGGACUGCAUCCUUUCUAUUUCAUCUGUUAUCAUGAAGUCUAUACUCCAGUGACUUCUGUCCAAAUGUUUAUUUCAGGUGAAAGAAUCUUACACUGACAUCUGCUAUUUGGGUAGCUGCUUGGCUCGUAUGAGCACUGAUGCAUAUCAACCCACGAGCUAUGUGAGGCCCAGCUUGCCCAGUGCCAGCUCUUCAGUUGCCUCGUUGUCGAGCGUCAACAAUCUUGCGUGAGUCAUAGAAAUCCCAAGGCGGUGUACAUUUGCGUAUGGAAGUCCAAUCUGAUUGUUCAAGAAACCUGUGUUAUUAUGGCGUUCAUGUGUACACACACAGGGGCAACCAAAUUGGCUGGCCCUCUUUCAUUGUGGCCGUUGAAGUAUUGUUGUCAACAGUUGGUCCUAACUUCACUUGUUGGGUAGGCGCUGGCUCAAAAGGUUAAUGGAGUACACCAAUAUAACUUUGUACAGAUGCACACCGCACAAUUGGUUAUGGAGUGUCAACAGUUGGCAAAGAUUAACACGCCAAGCCAAUGACAGCUCCCGUCCUGGACGCUAACAGUCUUGGAUUUUUGUCGCAACAGAAAAUGGUCCUGCUCCCAGCCCAGCCAUAAUCAGGAUAGAGCCAGUUCAUGCUUUCCUCUCAAGAAAGAAGCUUCCUUUUCUCCUCAGACAUGGCCAGGCUAAUCCGCUGUAAAUGACUGGGGUACUACAUGCAGUGCAGGCGUUAGGAGCGGAGCGGUUGGUUGAUCCGCGGUUUGGUUUGGCAUUUGUCCAAGACAGGGAAGGGAAUCCAAAUCCAGGCUCUGAUCUGCUGGGAUCGAUGCUGUUUCUUCAGGGGCAAGUGAUCGAAGCCCGUCCGUCAUGAUUUUUUACCAGCUUCAGAGUCACGCCUUGGCAUGUGAUCUGAUCGGAGGUAUGCAAGAUUUGUGGCUGAUCAUCUUGUGGUCCAGAUGCACAAGCUAACUGGAUUUGUGGUUUAUCUUGCAAGGAACGAUGGGUCUAGUAUUGAAUUAGUUGCUUCCAAGUUUGAAAACGACAAAGGUAAAAAAAGAUGGAGAGAAAGAUGUUUAGAUCGUCUCCAGCACAGCGGGACCAUGAGAGAUGAUUCUUCGCUGGACCAUAAUCUCGUAAUGAUACCUUACAUCGCUACGCUAGGAGUCACUUUAAUAUCCAUCUAUACACCUCUCUGUUAACUUAAUUUGCUUUUCCCAAUGUAUUAACUUAGUUAAUUAUGAACUGUGAUAUUGUAAUUCACACGACCUCUCAGUAUGCCCAUUAUUAAAGUAAUACCCCUCUGUAAUUUCUUAUAAGACAUUUUUAGAGUCCAUGACACUGUCAAAAAACUAUUGAAUUCAGUCA